rnacentral:rRNA from 1 species
UACGUAUGGAGCAAGCGUUAUCCGGAUUUACUGGGUGUAAAGGGAGCGUAGGCGGCAUGGCAAGUCCGAUGUGAAAUACCGGGGCCCAACCCCGGGGCUGCAUUGGAAACUGUCAUGCUGGAGUAUCGGAGGGGCAGGCGGAAUUCCUAGUGUAGCGGUGAAAUGCGUAGAUAUUAGGAGGAACACCGGUGGCGAAGGCGGCCUGCUGGACGAAGACUGACGCUGAGGCUCGAAAGCGUGGGGAGCAAACAGGAUUAGAAA